rnacentral:rRNA from 1 species
AACGAACGCUGGCGGCAGGCCUAACACAUGCAAGUCGAACGCCGUAGCAAUACGGAGUGGCAGACGGGUGAGUAACGCGUGGGAACAUACCCUCCGGUUCGGAAUAACUCAGGGAAACUUGAGCUAAUACCGGAUACGUCCAAGGUUUUAAUCGGCCUUGGAGAAAGAUUUAUCGCUGGAGGAUUGGCCCGCGUCUGAUUAGCUUGUUGGUGAGGUAAUGGCUCACCAAGGCGACGAUCAGUAGCUGGUCUGAGAGGAUGAUCAGCCACAUUGGGGACUGAGACACGGCCCAAACUCCUACGGGAGGCAGCAGUGGGGAAUAUUGGACAAUGGGCGAAGGCCUGAUCCAGCCAUGCCGCGUGAGUGAUGAAGGCCUUUAGGGUUGUAAAGCACUUUCAGUAGGGAAGAAAGCGNGUGCUAAUAUCAUUCGGUCUUGACGUUACUUACAGAAGAAGC